CUCACUGCUACAUAUGAGCACACUCUUUCUAAACUUAAUCAAUUCUAUAAGCAACGUAGUAAGAAUAAGUGCGCUGUGGCUGGUGACCGUAACACUAAAUUUUUCCACCAAGCUGUUGUCAAGCGUAGGAAGAGAAAUACCAUUUGUUCCGUUAAGGAUGAGAAUAAUAUGAUUCAUUUCAAUCCUACCGCUAUUAUGAAUACCUUUAUUAACUAUUUUCGUAUUGUGAGUAGACCUUACCUUUCCACUCAAUGGCCCGGCGGCUCUUUGGAUCCUACUUAUACUCUUCCUGACAAUCAUGAGAUUUUACAGAUUCUUAAGGAUAUGAAACUCAAUGCUUCUCCAGGACCGGAUGGUUUUAAUGUUGAGUUCUAUUUAGCUACUUGGGACUGGAUUGGAGAUGAGGUAACUCGGCUUGUUAUUAACUUUUAUUUAACUGGAAUUCUUCCUCCGCACAUUAAUGACACCAACAUUGCUCUCAUUCCUAAAAAGCUUGUUCCUCAAGUGCCUAUGGACUACCGACCU
rnacentral:rRNA from 1 species